UACGUAGGGUGCAAGCGUUGUCCGGAAUUAUUGGGCGUAAAGAGCUCGUAGGCGGUUUGUCGCGUCUGCUGUGAAAAUCCAGGGCUUAACCCUGGACCUGCAGUGGGUACGGGCAGACUAGAGUGCGGUAGGGGAGAUCGGAAUUCCUGGUGUAGCGGUGAAAUGCGCAGAUAUCAGGAGGAACACCGAUGGCGAAGGCAGGUCUCUGGGCCACUACUGACGCUGAGAAGCGAAAGCAUGGGGAGCGAACAGG
rnacentral:rRNA from 1 species